GGCUCUUUGUUAAAAUAUAAAUAAAGAGUCGGACCUGCCCAGUGAAAUAUUUUUAACGGCCGCGGUACUCUGACCGUGCAAAGGUAGCAUAAUCAUUUGCCUUAUAAUUGAAGGCUUGUAUGAAUGGUUUGACAAGAAUGAAUCUGUCUCUUUAUAAUUAAAUAUAAUUUUAUUUGCAGGUGAAGAAGCCUGUAUCAAAUUGAAAGACAAGAAGACCCUAUCGAGCUUUAAGACAAUUAAUAAAACUAAACUCAUAUUUAUAUCGAAUUAGUUAUUAAAAAUUUUAGUUGGGGCGACAAAGGAACAAACAAAGCUUCCUUACUAUUUUAUACAGGCAAGUUGUGAUCCAUUUAUUUUGAUUAAAGGAAUUAGUUACCGUAGGGAUAACAGCAUUAUCUUUUUUGAGAGCUCAAAUCGAAAAAAAGGCUUGUGACCUCGAUGUUGGACCAGAAUAUCCUAAAGAUGCAGCCGUCUUUAAGGGUUGGUCUGUUCGACCAUUAAAAUUCU
rnacentral:rRNA from 1 species